rnacentral:sRNA from 1 species
ACGCAUUUGAAAUGUGGUGUUGGCGCAA